AUUGAACGCUGGCGGCAGGCCUAACACAUGCAAGUCGAGCGAGAGGCGGACGGGUGAGUAAUGUAUGGGGAUCGGCCCGAUAGAGGGGGAUAAGCAAUGGAAAAGAUGGCUAACACCGCAAACUAGAGUAUGAACCCAUUUGGGAUUAGCUAGUAGGUGGGGUAAAGGCUCACCAAGGCGACGAUCUCUAGCUGGGCAGAGAGGAUGAUCAGCCACACGGGGACUGAGACACGGCCCAGACUCCUACGGGAGGCAGCAGUGGGGAAUAUUGCACAAUGGGCGCAAGCCUGAUGCAGCCAUGCCGCGUGUAUGAAGAAGGCCUUCGGGUUGUAAAGUACUUUCAGCGGGGAGGCGUUACCCGCAGAAGAAGCACCGGCUAACUCCGUGCCAGCAGCCGCGGUAAUUC
rnacentral:rRNA from 1 species